CACGUAGGGCGCAAGCGUUGUCCGGAAUUAUUGGGCGUAAAGAGCUCGUAGGCGGUCUGUUGCGUCCGCUGUGAAAACUCGGGGCUUAACCCCGAGCCUGCAGUGGAUACGGGCAGACUAGAGGUAGGUAGGGGAGAAUGGAAUUCCCGGUGUAGCGGUGAAAUGCGCAGAUAUCGGGAGGAACACCGGUGGCGAAGGCGGUUUCUCUGGGCAGUAACUGACGCUGAGGAGCGAAAGUGUGGGGAGCGAACAGG
rnacentral:rRNA from 1 species